UUGGAGGGCAAGUCUGGUGCCAGCAGCCGCGGUAAUUCCAGCUCCAAUAGCGUAUAUUAAAGUUGUUGCAGUUAAAAAGCUCGUAGUUGAACUUCGGGACCGGUGGGUUGGUCGUGCCUCCGGUACGUACUGGUCUUACUGGUUCCUCCCUUCUGAAGAACCACGAUGUCAUUAAUUUGGUGUCGUGGGAAAUCAGGACUGUUACUUUGAAAAAAUUAGAGUGUUUAAAGCAAGCUAACGCUUGAAUACAUUAGCAUGGAAUAAUGAAAUAGGACAUCGCAUUCUAUUUUGUUGGUUUCUAGGAUCGAUGUAAUGAUUAAUAGGGAUAGUUGGGGGCAUUAGUAUUCAAUUGUCAGAGGUGAAAUUCUUGGAUUUAUUGAAGACUAACUACUGCGAAAGCAUUUGCCAAGGAUGUUUUCAUUAAUCAAGAACGAAAGUUAGGGGAUCGAAGACGAUCAGAUACCGUCGUAGUCUUAACCAUAAACUAUGCCGACUAGGGAUCGGAUGAUGUUGAUUUUUUAAUGACUCAUUCGGCGCCUUACGGGAAAC
rnacentral:rRNA from 1 species